rnacentral:tRNA from 1 species
UCCCUGGUGGUCCAGUGGCUAAGACUCUGUGCUCCCAAUGCAGGGGGCCUGGGUUCGAUCCCUGGUCAGAGAA